rnacentral:tRNA from 1 species
GCCUCGGUGGCUCAGCUGGCAGAGCGGCUGACUCGUAAUCAGCAGGUCGGGGGUUCAAAUCCCUCCCGAGGCU